rnacentral:lncRNA from 1 species
GUGCACCUUAACAGAUCUUUUGACUUGAUGAAACGGCUCUGACGUUUGGAUAGGGAAAGAUGGACCAUUUCUACAAACAUGAUGUUAUGGAGUUGCAGUCCAUGAAGUCAGUAUCUAAGUCUCUAAAUGAAGGAAUUGUCUCGAUCUGUAACAUCUGCAAGUCCCUUAUGAAUGCACAAGUCAAUCCCACCACUGACACAUGCUCCAAUUACAAACAAAUCAGGGGACAUAUCGAGGAUGCUGAGCAGUGCAUGAAAAAUACUGAGAAAAUGAUUAAAGAAAAACUGGUAAAUUUGGAUGAACGCAUGGUGCAACUUAUUAGAGAGAAGCAAAACAUUGAGCAGCAGAAGAAAGAAAAAAGCAUGACCAUGGAUAAAUUGCACGAAGAGAAGAAGUCUGCUGAAGUUUCAUUAGAGUGUUCCAAAGCAGCUUUGACACAGGCUAUAAAAAACCUAGAAUCAGCAAACUAUACCCUAAGAGUACAACAAGACAGGAAGAAUGCAGGUGAAGGACUGACAAUUGCAGGGGGGGUAUUGCUUGCAAUACCAAUUAUUGGAUGGAUUGCUGGUGAGUAUUACAUUACUCUUACCAGGGCUGUACGU